rnacentral:rRNA from 1 species
AGUAACACGUGGAUAACCUACCUAUAAGACUGGGAUAACUUCGGGAAACCGGAGCUAAUACCGGAUGAUAUUUUGAACCGCAUGGUUCAAAAGUGAAAGACGGUCUUGCUGUCACUUAUAGAUGGAUCCGCGCUGCAUUAGCUAGUUUGUAAGGUAACGGCUUACCAAGGCAACGAUGCAUAGCCGACCUGAGAGGGUGAUCGGCCACACUGGAACUGAGACACGGUCCAG